rnacentral:lncRNA from 1 species
AGGGAGCUGCCGAGAUGAUCUUGAUUCGAUGCUCGCACUACUUCGACAGGAACGGGAGCGUCCGAGAUAUAGACGCUGAGUCGAGGAUGAAGUUUGAGGAGGUUAUCAGAGGCAUGGCUUCCUCUAGUCUUCGGUGCAUCGCCUUUGCCUACAAAGACACAGAAGCAGAGGAUCAUCUCCAUGUUGAUCAAGAAGAGACUCCGAGGUUAGAUGACGACGGGCUCACCUUGCUGGGUUUGGUCGGCCUGAAAGACCCGUGUCGUCCCGAGGUGGAAUCAGCGAUCGGUGCUUGCAGGCGCGCCGGAGUUGCCGUCAAAAUGAUCACAGGGGACAACGUGUUCACAGCCAGAGCCAUCGCCGUCGAGUGCGGGAUA